rnacentral:rRNA from 1 species
GACGAACGCUGGCGGCGUGCCUAAUACAUGCAAGUCGAACGAAGCUGUUUUAACUGGUGCUUGCACCGACUUAAACAACUGAGUGGCGAACGGGUGAGUAACACGUGGGUAACCUGCCCCAAAGCGGGGGAUAACAUUUGGAAACAGAUGCUAAUACCGCAUAAUCACAGAAACCACAUGGUUUCUGUGUCAAAGAUGGCUUCGGCUAUCACUUUGGGAUGGACCCGCGGCGUAUUAGCUAGUUGGUAAGGUAAUGGCUUACCAAGGCAAUGAUACGUAGCCGAACUGAGAGGUUGAUCGGCCACAUUGGGACUGAGACACGGCCCAAACUCCUACGGGAGGCAGCAGUAGGGAAUCUUCCACAAUGGACGAAAGUCUGAUGGAGCAACGCCGCGUGAGUGAAGAAGGUUUUCGGAUCGUAAAACUCCGUUGUCAGAGAAGAACGUGUGCGAGAGUAACUGUUCGUGCAGUGACGGUAUCUGGCCAGAAAGCCACGGCUAACUACGUGCCAGCCGCCGCUGUAA